UCAGAUUGUGUUUCAGAUGCAGCGAUUGCUGGAGACAAGUUGUAACACAGAUCCUGGCUCCCCUUGGAGUAUCAGAUUCACCUGGGAGCCUAACUUCUGGACCAAGCAGCUAGCUUCUCUUGGCUGCAUAACUACUGAAGGUGGACAAAUGUCCAGGGCAGAUGCUCCUGCUUAUGGAGGCUUACAGGGGUCAUCACCCUUUUAUCAAAGCCACCAGUCUCCAGUGGCUCAGCAAGAGGCUCUUAGCCACCCCUCACACAAGUUCCAGUCUCCAGCAGUGUGCUCCUCAUCUGUGUGCUGCUCCCACUGCUCCCCAGUCUCGCCUUCCCUCAAAGGCCAGGUCCCCCCACCCAGCAUACACCCAGCCCACAGCUUCAGGCAGCCCUCUGAGAUGGUGCCCCAGCAGCUGGGGUCUCUGCAGUGCUCUGCCCUGCUGCCCAGGGAGAAAGAGCUGGCCUGCAGCCCUCAUCCACCAAAGCUGCUGCAGCCCUGGCUGGAA
rnacentral:lncRNA from 1 species